CCGCUUAGAAGCAAACGGGUGUAGUCAAGCUGCAAGCCUUAAGAAAUAGGUUGGUCAGAAUGGCGUGAGUCUGAGCAUACAGAGCUGCCAGGUAGGUCCGACUAUAUGUCGGGUUCGGCUCGCAAGAGUCGGAUUUGUGGAGCGUUUACGCGCUGCAUGCCUGCUUGUCAGUUGCUCUACUGGCCCUCUCAAUUUCUUUUGGCGUAUGUCACGACCGUCUUCGCUGUCGGUCUGCUCCAUUUAAACCGUUUCGUGAGUAGUUUCGUGCUGCUUGCGUUCCUGGGGGCAGGUAGCUGAUCUAGUCUCGGCUGGAUUGGUGUAAUUGCUGAGUGGAGUGGUACCUGUAACUGUGCAGUAAGAUGGGGCUGGCGGUGCAUUGUUGCCGGGCGUGCGUGUGUUAUCGUGGUUGGCGUAUGGCUAUCUGUUGCUGUUAAUAACGGCCUGGUGGUUGCCCGAUUGCGGUGUCAUUCGUUACGUUUGGUCCAUCUUUGCGUUGUGCAUAUAGUCUGUNGCGUAGUGG
rnacentral:rRNA from 1 species